GUGGGAGUUGAGUAUAUUUGACAAAACUUUUUAAAAGGCAUGGACGGGUAUGGUUUGGCCUUAAGACGGAGGAAAGCUUAUGAAGCUUGUCCAAUAAAGGAUGGGAAGAGAGUUGUAAUACUUUACAGAUAAAGCGAUCACUGAGAUAUUGAGCCCGUAGAAGUCUAGGAGGGUCAACACAUUCAACUUGCAAUACAUUGGUGGGAGAAGAUUUCAUGGCCCCAAGAAUGAGCCUUAGGCAUUUAUAUUGAAUUUUAUUUAAUUUUUCUGAAGCCGACUUAUUUAUAGGGUCUAAAAUAAAUAAUCCAUAGUCCAUAUGACUACGGAUUAUGGCGUUAUAUAAUAACUUUUGGGUGUAAGGGUGGGCACCCCACCAUACCCCUGACAAGGCUCGCAGGAUAUUAAUAUUGCUUUCACAUUUACGGGUAACAUAGUCGGAGUGAGCUACACCGUUCAGCCUGGAGUCUAGAACCACGCCAAGAAAUUUGGUUUUGCAUGCGAGAGAAAUGUGUUGAUCCUCAAACAUAACAUUGGGUAUUGGAAUUUGUCUUCUUCUUGUGAAGAUGACUGCCUUGCACUUAUCGAUUGACAGUGUAAGCCCAUGAUCUGACAACCACUGGCCUAGAUAAUACAAAGCAGAGUUCAAACAGGUAGAAAUUUCGUCCAUGGAGUUGGAGCUGGCGUACAGAGCUAUGUCAUCUGCAUAUUGCAGGAUGUUACAAAAACUUUCAACAGACAUUUCAAGAUCAUAGGUGUAAAUAUUGUAGAGCAGUGGGCUCAGAACAGAACCUUGAGGGAGACCUUUCCAGACCAUUCUGGGGGGAAGAUUUAGGGAUUUAGUUCUCACCAGAAUGGUUCUAGAUGAGAGAAGAUUGCAUAUUAUUUGAGUUAAUCUCGGUGGGAUGCUCAGCUGUUGCCAUUUCUGCCUGAGUACCGGGAGAAGAACGUUAUCAUAUGCUGCUGCAAUAUCUAGGAAUACACCCACAAGGUACUCUCCUUUAGCUAGGGCUAUUCGAAUGUCUGUUGAAAGAACUCCAAGGCUGUCCAUUGUACCAAGGCCCUUUCUAAAGCCAAAUUGAGACUUGGCAAUUAAGCCUCUGCUUUCUAUUAUCCAUUCCAAGCGGUUUUUAAUCAAGUGCUCCAUAAUUUUGGCCAAAUUGGGUCACUAGAGGAGACAGAUUGCCGGUAUCUUUUCAUUCUAUCCCAUACCAAGGUAGAUGGGGAUCGGGGAUCCAGAGACUCGCAGAAAGUAAUCCAACCUCGCUUUUUCUUUUUUGAUACCAAUCUCUUGACUUUGGCAUCGGUGCGCUGGUAUUCCAAAAAGUUUUCACGGGACAUUAACAUCGUGUAGGAAGUUUCUGCAUCUUUACGUUUUUUUAUUAGGUUGGUGCAUUCCUCAUCCCACCAGGGAGGAGAUGCCAUAAAAUCACGUUUAGUAGUUUUGAGUGGUAUAUGGAGGUCGGCUGAAUAUUUCAAAAUUUUGACAAAGUUAUCGUAGUAAAGGACUGUACUGUCUUCAUCUGAUAAGUUAUCAAUAAGAAGGUCAACUGAUUCCGCAAAAGCAGACCAGUUGGCCUUGUUAAGUUUGUGUUUAAGAAGGGGAUUAGGAUUAUACUGUGGAAUGGAUUUUUGUGCUAUGUUGAGUAAAAUAGGGAAGUGGUCACUACCGUGGGUACUUGGGAGGGUUUUCCAGGAGGUAAGAGAAGCCAAAGAGGGAGAGCAAAGAGAUAGAUCGACAGCAGUUUUAGGAUUUUGAUAAGGAUACACUCUUCUUGUUGGAGAGCCAUCGUUAAGAAUGCAAAUAUUUAAUUCAUCAAAAACAUCCAGCAAGAGAGUGGAAAAUCCGUCACAGGAAUGGGAACCCCAGGACGUGUGAUGGGAGUUAAAAUCACCCAUCAC